rnacentral:rRNA from 1 species
AGGACGAACGCUGGCGGCGUGCUUAACACAUGCAAGUCGAGCGGAAAGGCCUUUCGGGGUACUCGAGCGGCGAACGGGUGAGUAACACGUGAGCAACCUGCCCUUAGCUUCGGGAUAGCUCCGGGAAACCGGAAUUAAUACCGAAUAUGACUUUGGCUGACAUCAGCAGAAGUGGAAAGUUUUUCGGCUAGGGAUGGACUCGCGGCCUAUCAGCUAGUUGGUGAGGUAACGGCCCACCAAGGCGACG